AUUAAACCAUAAACGAUGACAUCCACUUUAGUCAGUCCAGCUCCUGGAAUAGCCUUCCAGCCACUGUCUCCCAGUGUUCUGAAUAAAUGUGCUUGGACUUCAUUGUAAAACACCGGGUCAAUGGACUGCCGAGUACUCAAACAAACCCUUCUGACCAUGUGCAAAGACAGCCCUCCAGCCUGCACUGCUACAGGUGAACCCAUGGCAGGGAAAUGUGAGCAGCUGGCAGACCUACAGCAGAUGCCAUCUUAAUUGGUCUGUGAUGAAGGUGCAAAUAAACUGUGAAUAGAUGUAUACCUUGCUGAGUUGAAAUUGCAGGGGAUCUCAAGAUUUAAUUACACUAAAUGUAAGAUAUUGAAACCUUGUUAACAGCAUGUCUGAAUGGUCUCUGUUUUUAUUCUGCAGGUGGGAUUGAUGGACAGUGCUGCCUGUUCACUUACCUGGAGGACUCUGUGAAUGCAUGUCAUGAGGAAAGAGGAGCACUGAAAGCCCUGAAGCUUUGUAAUGGAGAGGAAAAUCACCAGGAUUUUUCUCACUCCCACAGAACAAGCUGCUUAUCAGAACACCAUUAUUUUCCUGGACUGUUCCUGAUGUCUCCCCCAGCUUCAGCUCUGAAAAUGAUCUCUCUGAGUCACAGCAAGUGACUCAUCUGUAUCUGUUAGGUCAGACCUUGGGACACAACGUGAUACAGAGGAGGAAGGAGACUCUUCCCUGGAGGAACUCUUGACACUUCCCAAUGCUUGACUCAGUUUGAUAAGUGGCCUUGUGCAGCUAUCGUGCUCUCUUUUCCUAGUUCCUCCACCUGUGGCUUUUAGCGCUACCUCUCACCUUGGCAGUGACAAUCUUGCCAAUGGCAAUGCAGUACAUGGGCUCUGUGCAUGGUAUGAUCCCUUCUGUACAUAGGGAGCCUUGCUACAAAAAGGUCCUUAUGCAAAUGCAACACUGACCUUGUACCAUGGGGCAGGCACCAAGCCAAAGGCAGUUCCCAAAAGCAGACUACUAGAAGGAGUUCAUAUGAAAGUAAUGUGACUUAUUUGGCACUCUCUCUGUAUGAGAAACCAACCAGAACAUAGUUGUAAAAUGCUAAAGAUCAUUUGAAAUGAACUGAAUGAAAUAUAAAGAUGACACUAAACAGUUAGUACAGUUUGAAAAUACAUAAUUGUUCCAAUAUAUAGUAAAUAUACAAUAGAAAUACAUAAAUGUGUGGGGGUCCAAGCUGUCUAUUUUGUAACUUUAUAAAUGACACUUAUGACAAUCAGUGUUGCUACUACUGAGAAUCUUCAGGAAUUCUUUAUGCUAACAUGUACAUUUGUGUCAAAGGUUAUAUUAUUUCAACUGCUAUAGGCUCCUUAUUCACAGGGAAGUGCUAUUCACGGGCUUGACAAUGCCAAAAUGGUGUAGCCAUUGUAGGAGCAUAAGAUUUCUAUUUUUUCAUCAGAAAAGUUAACUAUUGGACAGUGAUGAAGAAAUAAUCUGGGUCAAGGCUGGAAAAUUUGGACUCUUGGUGUUUUGUUAGGAAAAUACAAAUUUUAUUAGAAAAGAUGAUGAACAUGAAAUUUUCAGACUGGAAUUUGUUUCUCUCAAUAACCUUUUAUGUGACUUGUGGGAAAUUAGUCACUGUGUUUCAAUUGCCCCAUCUCUACAGUGAGCAAAACAUAUUGUAGAACUUGAGCUCAGGUGCAAGAAAUUAUCUUUCUUGACUCUGAUCCCUUAUUUGAAGUCCUAAUUUCCCAGUGAAAUCAAUCUGGUACACCUCAACAAGUCUCAUAUUCAGAAUGAUCUGCCCUCUUGUCUUCUAAGAACUGAAGAGUUGAAGAGUUUUUUUUUUUUUUUUUUUUUUUUAAAGGUAUAUCAAACUGAGUAUUUAACUCCAUUAUUUUUGAAAAUUUUGGUCACUAUAUUUAUUGUACAAAAUGACAAAGUGAAGCAGAGUGGGUGGCUGACUUGUCAAGGGCCACACACACAGUAAGUAGCAGAGACAGAAGCCUGAUUUUGAGCCCCUGGCUGAAAACACAAGAUAAAAAAUACUUAUCUCAGAUAUGACUUAACAACAACUUGGAAAAGGGCUUACUAAAACGUAAAAGAAAAAAAAAAAAAAAAAGAAAAAAAAGAAGAAAGAAGUCUAGGUCUGGCACAUGUACUUGAAGUCCAAGGUCCUGUAAAUGAGGGGGAAAGGGUGAAACAUGAAAGAUAUUUAUCUAGUUUUCUAAGGGUACGACAAAGACAGAGAAACGAAGGGAAUAAAGAUAGAUCAGGAAAGUCAGUAGCUUGACAUGAGGGUUAGGACUUGUGAAAUGGAUUAAAGAUUAGCUUAGAGACUGAUAGGACACAGGGAAUGUCAGUGAAAGAUAGUUAAGAGCUGGAAAAGGUAGCAUGCAGAGGACCACACUUAUCUUUCCCUUGAGUAUAAGUGAUCCAAACAGCAUGCCAUUCUAAAGUCCUGAAACUUGCAGAUGACUGGGAAAUAUGAGGUCAGUGGGGAAAAUUUGAGGAAGACAUGAGAGAACACAGGCCCGGAUUUCUAAUUCCUCAGAACUGUUUAUGUUUAUUCUGAAAUACACAAAUUUGGGGCUGCCUGAGAUAGGCAUUGUUGUUCAAGAGCAUUCUGAAAUAAAAGAACACAAAGAAAUUUGUCAUGUGUUGGUAGUAGUUCUGUAGUGCUGAAAGCAGUUCUGGGCUGCUUUAACACUUUUCAUGGA